rnacentral:rRNA from 1 species
GACACGACUCUCAGUAAUGGAUAUCUCAGCUGUCGCAUCGAUGAAGAGCGUAGUAAAAUGUGAUAUGUGGUGUGAAUUGCAGAAUCUCACGAACCAUCGAGUCUUUGAACACAAGUUGUGCCCGAGGCCAGCCGGCCGAGCACACGUCCGCUUGGGCGUCAAGC